rnacentral:rRNA from 1 species
GUAGGUGGCAAGCGUUGUCCGGAAUUAUUGGGCGUAAAGCGCGCGCAGGCGGUCCUUUAAGUCUGAUGUGAAAGCCCACGGCUCAACCGUGGAGGGUCAUUGGAAACUGGGGGACUUGAGUGCAGAAGAGGAGAGUGGAAUUCCACGUGUAGCGGUGAAAUGCGUAGAGAUGUGGAGGAACACCAGUGGCGAAGGCGACUCUCUGGUCUGUAACUGACGCUGAGGCGCGAAAGCGUGGGGAGCGAACAGGAUUAGAUACCCUGGUAGUCCACGCCGUAAACGAUGAGUGCUAAGUGUUAGAGGGUUUCCGCCCUUUAGUGCUGCAGCUAACGCAUUAAGCACUCCGCCUGGGAGUACGGUCGCAAGCUG